rfam:Devosia soli strain GH2-10 NODE_48, whole genome shotgun sequence.
CCCGUCUCGCUGGGGUGUUCCGGAUGCAAGCCGGAGCUGAGAGUUACCCAUAGAACCUGAACCAGGUCAUGCUGGCGGAGGAAGUUCGAGAUGGCAAGGUCG